AUGCCGUCAUGGCCGAACAACAACGAGACGUCGGACGAUGAUGGUGAGUACAUGAGCGAGUUCAGCAGCAUGCAGAUGGAGUACUUUCAAACUCCUGACACUGUGAUAGACCCUAGUUUCUGUGGGCUUGUGACUGAAUUUGAGAGAAGGUGCAUCCUGCAUAGGCAGAUGCUAGGCAAGUUUGUGGCAUUUAAAGGCACUAACACUGGCAGGAGAUUCAUGGGGUGUGCUACUGAGCGGGUAGAUGCCCCCUGGCCUGUAAUUCUGCAAAGGUGCUUAAGCAAGCUCUGGGAUAUGUAUCAUGAGCAGAACCUUGGUAGAGCCCAGGAUAAUGAGGCUCAUGGGAUAGAGGUUGCAAAACUGUAGAAGGAGCUUGAUUCUCUGGCCAAUCAGUAUAGCCAGCUGGUGGAUGAUGUGUCCAAGUUGUUUGAUUAUCAGGAUGGAAUCAAAUCUCAUGACAUGGAUUGCACAAACCAGGCAAUCAAUGAAUUGAAGGAGAAGAAGAAGCAACUUGAGGAGCAGGCAAAGAUUGAGCUUCAAAUGGAGAAGCUUAAGCUCAAGAAAGAACACAGGUGCAUCCUUCAGAGUCAAGCUGAUAUAAUCUAGAACACAAGAAAGGCCAUGAAGCAGAUAUAGGUGGAUAGAGACCUCCUUAUAGAAGAGAAGAAGAAGCUGGAAAAUGUCAUUGCUGAGCUCCUGAGGGUUGGUCAUGGGUGCAAGGAAAAGCUAGACAAGAUCAAGGAAGUUGUGAUGGAGGAGUGA
rnacentral:rRNA from 1 species